GAUUUGGGCAGUCAAGGCAGGCAAUCACAAAGGAGAAGCUGAAGCCAUGUGAAGUUGAAGGGUGAUGCAGCCCUUCCCUCUAGACUGUAGAAAUCAGGAGCAGGACAAUGUAUUGCCAGCCUUCUGCCUUCGUUAUGCCGUUUUCCCAGUGUUCCAUGCCUUCUGUGCUCCUGGGAAUUGUCUGAAAACUGAAGUUAAUAAGCUGGAUCCAUGCUCUCAAGUGCCUGGCAAACAAAAAAAAAAAACACAUCAAUUUCAGCUCAUUCAUUCUCUCAAGAUCAGGACUGACUGGAUCACUGAAGUAAUGCUUUGACUUCCUAUAAUAGGGAGUUUCACCUAGAGUGAACAGAAUUGAAAAAUACAAGGUAGUUAUUUCAGUGAUCUUGCAAAAAAUAGUCCUGCAGAACAUGUGUUCAACUAUCCUCUGUAACUGGACAGAACUACAUAGAGCUUAUUCACCCAGCUAAUUUAAUAGUGAAUGAAACUUUUAAACUACAGUAUUGAAUGCCAAAAAUAUUGAAAAGAAACUGCACAGCAUGGGCUGUAUAAAAGGGUUCCUUAAAUUUAAUGUGAUUUUCCCAUAUAGUACAGAUUACCAUGUCAGAAAUUCUAGGAGUAAAAUGAUACAUGUUGAAGAAUUGGUAGCUGAUUUUUCUAGAGAAUAAGUAGCAUCCAAGGCCUGUAAGAUUGAAGAGUUCUUUGGGGCAAGUCUAUCAAUGUUGAAAAGCAUCAUGAGUUAGUAACCUGAACAAGGUAUUAGUUAGCAGGAGUAGUUGAUAAUGUGUUACCUGAACAGCCUGAACAGCUUGGCUCAAAGUAUUGCAUUUUCUUCCCUUAAUUGAGGGUGAGGGGUAAUCAAAGCAUUGCUAAUAAAACCAGACUGAUGGUAACACAACAGGUUUUGCAAAGUCUUGCAAGAGAUCUGCAAUGAUCUGGUAAUGGCUGAAAUUUGGGCCCAUUUCCAACCAUUACUAGCUCAUAAAGGCUUUGUAUUUCUUUGUAUAUUCUGAGACUGGUCCAGGCUGACCUGUACUCUUGCCUCCACAUGUUAUGUCUUUUUUCCAGAGAAACUCAAUAGCAGCAGAACUCCUUGUGAUUGAUCUCCUUUGAAUGUUAACAAGCAAAGAACAUGCCAUUAAUA